CAGACUGUCUGGUACUACCGUAACGUAAGACACUCUGGCGUACGUAACCCCUUACGUAAAUCAUGUAAAAAUCGUGUCAAUUUCCUGAGUUUACAUUUUUCCUGACCCAUUUAGUGUAUUUAUCAUUUGUAGUUUUAAAUAAUAUUAAAUUUAGUUUGCCUGCAGUUUAUAAUUAUUUACGUUUUACGUUUAGUUGUAUUUAUGAAUAACAAAAACUCCUCCAAAUUUUGAGUCAAAAAAUGAAAUCCCCCAGAGCCUUUAAAACAACUAUUCAUAACUUGGAAGCCAGUUAUUUGACCAUUUUAUCUGAUAAAUACAUAAUUUCCAUUUUUCAUAGCGUUAAAAACAAACUUCAUACUAAUACUUCACACCGAAUAAGACUCGGAAAAGGCCAGGUAAAAUGGUAAAACUUCUACCUGAAAUUACGAGUUACAAUGCCAUUAAAGGCGCAAAAACCAACCCCCAUUAUAAUUAAUGCGCAAAAGGCUCGUUUCAUUCCAUAAAAAGACUAUUGAAUGGACAAUGAGUUGAGUACAUCUUGUAUGUCCUAAAACAUUAAAUUUCCUACUAAAACUAAUACAGUGCUAAAAAGCAAUCGCAUCUUUAAUAGUACUACUUUUGACGGCUUUAAAAAAAAAACCUUGUGUGAGACUUUUUAAAGUAUCUAUUAGAUACUCAAGAUUAUACGUAAUCGAAUUUACUUAGAUAGAUAGAUAAAUGGAUAAUUUGUAAAGUGGAACAACAGAUAUCUUUUUGAGAUCCACGAAUUAUACUACAGAGCGAAUACUUUAAUAACAUAGGAAUGCAUUUAACAGAUCAACUUUUUGUAUAAUUACGAUUGCUAUUAUUAUGAAUAUUCUUUGACAAUUAUUUAUUAUUGUCGUGAACCUUUUGAUGUAUAGAAUAAAAACAAACUCUUUGGAAAAGACCAGAUAGCUACAGAUACUUAAUAAUCGUAAUCCAAAGUUACCCAGGCCAGCUCAUAUUUCUAGCGUAUGCAAUGCUCAAGCUGAUGAAUUUGAGCCAUCUUAGCUAGCUUAGUUAGCUUAUUUUGCUGAUCUCAAGCCCUCAGAAGUUGGAGGAAUGCAUUUUUUAAAGCCGCAUUAAGCGCUUAAAGCAGCAGCACUUAGAAUAUGGCCAAACGGAACGCAUCAUGCAGCAAAAGAAACUGUUUACCGCGUAUACAUACAUAUGUACUGAGUAAAUGCACGGGGAUGGAGUGGUGCUAGUGGUGGUGGUGGAGCUCAAUGCUGCAGUUUUCAGCCCUCUGCUCAGGUCACAGCAUUUGGAGAGCAGAGACAGAGGCAGAGGCAGGGCAGAGAAUUCGACUGCAGCAGCAUAGGACGUGGCAGACAAAGUGGCUGUGGUGCACAUAGCUCGGGGCCUAACUCAGCCCGGUGGCACUGCCGUGUGAUUUGUUCCGAUGAGAAAAUGCUCCGAAAAGACAUCUACCUUACGAAGGCAAACGCAGUUUGGAGGCGAAGCAGGGUAGGGUAUAUGGUGAGUGGAGGAGAAUGAUUGUCCGGCAUGCGCAGUGGAGGCCAUCGGAAAAAUCAAUUCAGCUAAAAGAGCGCCCGUUUCAAGGAAUUGCAGGGCCACACCAACCAAAACAACGACAACCAAAACGAGCACAACAACAACGCUAGUAAAAACAACAUUACUGCGCAACAUUUGUUGCGCCCAGGAGAAAACGGGAGGGGUUGGAGCUUGCGGUCAGUCGAAGAUGCGCCGUCGCCCAAAACCACCCAUUGAACAACAACAACCUCGAAGGUGGGUGGACAUUUUUGGGCGUCUGUAAAUUGCAUUACUGCCAUGCUUGCAGCGCUACUGUGGCUGCGGCCGUGCUUAUGUAAUACAUGUCCAAGAAGAUGACUGCGCAGUAAAUGGCCGAGUGGUCGGUGAAGAGAAACCUACCUAAAUAGCGGUGUACUCUAUGGUGUUAUACGAAUGUUGAUACUUUAAACGAAAAGUUCAAAUACAAACCAAACAGCUGAAGACUGUAUUAACAGUGAAUUACCACUUUACCCUUUGUCAAAAAAAUAGUUUUAGAUUUGCUUAGUAAGUUGCUUUGUAAGCUUAUGGUAUACUAUGAAGUACAGCAUUAAAAAGGCUCUUACAUAAUAAAUGCAUAAUUAUGUUUAUAUUUAGCAUAUCAGUGUACCAUCGCUAGGCUGGAUAUCCACCCCACAAUCUCCCAGUCAUUAUCCUGGCAAAAGUUUCUCACCGAACGUCCUUGUUUGAGGUUAUUUAUGUGUAUAUUCGGCUUUCCUGGCACAUAAGAGAAAGAAGCCACGUAUGUACGUAGCCUGCAGGAUUUUCCCGCAUUCCUUACACACUCACACCACCAUUUACAUAAGAGUUGAAAUUUCUGUAACCCUUUUUAAGCCUUCUUUUCAAUCAUUGCCGGACGACGGUCCCCUGCCAUUUCCCCACUGACUGCAGUCAAAGUUAUUUGAACCGGAGAACAUUCUCUACACUCGACUCCCUCAGGGCGUGAAAUUUAUCAACAUCAGGGAAUUGGCUGUAGGAACAGAAGGAGCAGGCAGGAGUAGAAGUUACAGAAGCAUCAGUGGUUCCCUGUAGCAUGCAAAAGUGAAGGACACGGGAAUGACAGGACGCAGGAGCACGGUAUUUUGUUAAAGGAAUUAGAUAAACAUUUCAAAGGAAGAGGAGACAUAAGAACUCAAAAAUGAAAACGGAUUUUUAAAAUUUGAUGGAACCUAAAACUUAUUUUCUUAUAUAUGUAAACUAUUCUAUAUCGCCCAUGUGGUCUAUGCAAAGGUCAUAACUAAAGCCAACAAAGAAUUAAUAAAUGUUAAAUUGAAACAUUUAAAUAACCUCAUAUCUUUAUCUAAAUAUCGCAGUAGAAUUGCAACUUUUCAAACUUACAUCUGCAGGGAAAAAUAAAAUUCGAAUUAAAAAGAAGAAUGCAGUUUUCAUUGCGACUGCUGAACCGAACCAUUGGAACCGAGAAAACGGGAUACCCUAUACCCAUUAGAAGUAUUGUUUAGAAUAAUUAAGACACCUCUCCAGCAAAUUAAAUUAUUAUUAAAUUAUUAGUUACUUCAACUGGCGACUUCAAUUAAAGUAGAUACUUCCAGUGAAUUGGUGUGACGUGUGUGUGAGGUCUGCGACAAACUCAGAGGGCAAAGUUGAAUAAAAGUUGAAGUAAGGAAAGGCGAGGAAAACCAGGGGAAGUUCUGAAAAAUUCGCGGUUCUGCCCACCCAAGCCACAGUGAUGCAACCGGAAGCAGCAAAAAAGUGGGUGGCAAAAUGGUAGAGGCUACAAAGAACAAAAACAACAACAACAAGCAGUAGCACAGCUAGGAGCACAGAUUAACUUUCCUCCUAGGCCGGUUCAAAACCAUUGAAUGAAACUUAUGCAAGGCGAGCGCCUUAGCUGGGAGAGAAAACUAGGGGAAAAUCCGGAAAAGGGCAGAGAAUUCAGCAUUGUAAUGCGCCUGCGCGCUCUAAAUUCCAGUACAUAAUCUGGACGGAAAAUGCUACAGACUACGUUACAUACUUGGAAUACAUAUAUAAAAGGCCAGGACAUUGGUUAUCUUUCAUAUCCUGGCAGCCACCCACAGCCGCAGGGCCCUAUAAACAACAACAGGAUAAAUUGCCACAAUAAAAUAACUAAAAGAUUAAAGCAAAAAAAUGAAAGACAACAUCAGAAGCUAGAAAAAAUAACAGCCUUCCUAACUUAGGGGCUAGGAUUGCCUGAAAACGGGGUCGUGGAAAUGGAAAAUGAAAGCUAUAUUAAAGACACCUACGACGCCAUGUUGAGUUAUACAGGAAGUGCCUCUGCCGCUCCUUUUCGAAGCCUUUCUGCCCUCUUUUUCCACGUCACACAACCUCUGGAGCCUAUGCCGGCAAUAAGAACUUCCAGUGCACUUUGCUGUUCCACAUGCAUUCACGAUGCUACCGAUGAAAUGGUUAUAAGCACUACCACUACCAGGGAUUUUAUAAAUAUAUCAAUGACUAUUGUUUCUAUUACGCCUAUUACGUAAAAUGUGUUGUCUAAUAUACCUUCAUCAAAUGUUUCAAGAUGCUAAAGACCACCAUGGAAUUAAUUAUAACUUGUUUAGUAAAACGAAGCCAAGUAGAAGAAGGAAGAUGAGCUAGUCGUUGGGUUAAUCCUUAGCAUACAUCCCAAAUUAAUCAAAAUACCACAUAUAAGUAAAUUGUGUAAACUAUUGCCAUAUUAUUUGAUGAAAACAAGGGAGAACGCGUUCCCCGACUAUCAGAUACUCGUUACUCAGCAAGAGCGAGUGGGAAGUAGAAAUUUCAAAAUUCUUGGCAUAUCGAAAAAAGAAAAGAAAAAUAUGAAUAAUAAUACAAUUAAUGAAAUGAUUAAGACAUAUAACAAAUUGAAAUACAUACAAAUAUUUAAAAGUUUGGGCAGUUGUGCACAGUUUGUUGGCGUUAGAGUGGGCGUGGCCUCGUUAUGCAAGUUUAAUCUGCAUGUUUCCCAAGAUCUCAACGUUCAUACAGACGGACAGAAGAACCAAUAUGGCUAGAUCGACUCGGCUACUGAUCCUGAUUAAUAAUAUUUAUUCUUUAGUUCAAGCUACCUGGUAAAUAUUUUUCAAUAAAUCUGAUAAAAUCAUUUACUCUACGAGUUACUGGUAUAAUACAAUAUACUUAACAAACAUAGAACCAUUUUGAUAAUUCAUAAAAUUUUGUUGUUGAUUUCUUUCUUUGAACCAAGUAAGAAUUUAAUUCUUUUUUCCCACAACUACCAAAUGACGAAUUUACAAACUGUAAACCGAUUAACUCACUAAACUAACUAAAUGAACUUAACUGUGACUUUUGAUUACUCUUCACUCAAAUUAAAUCAAAGAUUCGAGUUUCCCUAGCACCAGCAGAGCUCGGUAUUUCCUGCCACCAUUUAUAUUCGUUCUGGAUGGUCUUAACUUGUUUGGAUGCAUUUAAAUUAAUUCGAUUUGGCGAAAUGGAGUCCAAUGGCGACAAAAUCGCAAACUUUGUUUGCAAAACCAUUCAAGGCGACAGUGCAAUGCAAUUACAUUCACGGAGAUGCAAAUACACAUCCACUGGAUACGGAUACAAACGCACAUUGCGAAUGGGAUACAUAAUCACCUCCUUUGGGGGGCUGACAAUUUAAUUAAAAUUGAUUUUCCGAUCAAUAUUUUCCAGGGAAAUUCACAGUUGCAAUCGACGCGGCUGUAUAUGUGUUCUGUAUCUAAACUUGCAGGCGUUCUGGUUAUAUGAGUCAUAUAUACAUACACUGCAAAAUACAGAAAUGGGGGUGUGCGGUGUAUAUAUUUAACAGUGUGUAAAAUUUAAUUGUGUGUUCCUCUCAGUCUCUCCUUUGUAUACAACUGAAAUUUAAUAAGCAAUAUUUAUAUUCUUGUCGUCUAUACUUCUUUUCCAGCUACCCAUAUCCGCGACCCAUGAAGCACUUCCAGAUAAAGAUUGAUUAUAGCUGAAGUUUUCUUGGUUUUCGGUCAUUUUUUACUUUUGACUCCUUAUAUUUAAUGUUUACUGCCAUUUAUUUCAAUGCAUUGAAAGGAUUUUGGGACACACCCAAAGUAUUCCAAUGCAGCAGCCACAGCCAUGGUAUCCUUAUAAUGGCAGGAUGAUAAUUUAAAGGGGAGGUAUGGGGGGUGGGUUAAGAUCCAGGGUCCGUUUACCAUAGUCACGAGAGUCUUGGGCAAACGAAUUUGUCUUUAUUCCACAAUGGUGGUUGUGGCAAAUGGAUUCUGGAAAUGCAAUCAGUAAUGAGGAGCUCGGAAAAUUGCUUAGAAUAGAAAGCUACAUCUGCUAAUGCAAGGCUCAUAUUUUAAAAAUAUAACUUGGAAAACGAAAUUAGUUGGUAAUGAUUUUGUAUAUGUUUAUGUAUGUAAGUGAAAUUUAUGAUAAUAUUACAGUUUAAAAUUGUAUUAAAAGCAUUUCGGAGUUUUAUUUCAGACAUUCAAGUCAUCUUGUUUGAACAUUUGCAUACAAGACCCUGCUAAGGCAUCCUCUGCUCUCUUGAAAAAACUUUACCAAGCCAAAGGGUCGAAUUUAAAACUGAUGUCUCGUUUUAUAUUUUCGUGAUUGCUGUUCUUGCUUUGCUAACUCAGCCAUCAUAAAAGCAGAUGGAAUGCAGCAGGACCUUAAAAAACAUACCAAAGCCAAAAAUACCUUAAAAUGGCGGGUCAGUAUUACUUAAUUAUUUUAAUUGCAUUUUUCUCUGACACAUAUGUUUAUUUUAAUUGAAAAGAUUGAACAAGUAAUAAAUAAAUCGAAUGCGCAAUCCGGAAAAUAGGGGCGUAUGUACAACUUUAUGUAACUUUGCAAUGGCAUGAAACACAAAUACACAAUAACAUUUUC